AACGAACGCUGGCGGCAGGCUUAACACAUGCAAGUCGAGCGCCCCGCAAGGGGAGCGGCAGACGGGUGAGUAACGCGUGGGAACAUACCCUUUGGUUCGGAAUAACUCAGGGAAACUUGAGCUAAUACCGGAUACGUCCGUAAGGAGAAAGAUUUAUCGCCAAAGGAUUGGCCCGCGUCCGAUUAGCUAGUUGGUGAGGUAACGGCUCACCAAGGCUACGAUCGGUAGCUGGUCUGAGAGGAUGAUCAGCCACAUUGGGACUGAGACACGGCCCAAACUCCUACGGGAGGCAGCAGUGGGGAAUAUUGGACAAUGGGCGCAAGCCUGAUCCAGCCAUGCCGCGUGAGUGAUGAAGG
rnacentral:rRNA from 1 species